AUUGAACGCUGGCGGCAGGCCUAACACAUGCAAGUCGAACGAGUGGCGGACGGGUGCGUAAUGUCUGGGAAACUGCCUGAUGGAGGGGGCUAACUACUGGAAACGGUAGCUAAUACCGCAUACCAUCGGAUGUGCCCAGAUGUGAUUAGCAAGUAGGGGGGGAAAAGGAUCACCUAGGCGACGAUCCCUAGCUGGUCUGAAAGGAUGACCAGCCAACCUGGAACUGAGACACGGUCCAGACUCCUACGCGAGGCAGCAGUGGGGAAUAUGGCACAAUGGGCGCAAGCCUGAGACAGCCAGGCCGCGUGUAGGAAGACGGCCUUCGGGUUGUAAAGUACUUUCAGCGGGGAGGCGUUACCCGCAGAAGAAGCACCGGCUAACUCCGUGCCAGCAGCCGCGGUAAUAC
rnacentral:rRNA from 1 species